GAUGAACGCUGGCGGCGUGCCUAACACAUGCAAGUCGAGCGAUUUACUUCGGUAAAGAGCGGCGGACGGGUGAGUAACGCGUGGGUAACCUGCCCUGUACACACGGAUAACAUACCGAAAGGUAUGCUAAUACGAGAUAAUAUGCUUUUAUCGCAUGGUAGAAGUAUCAAAGCUUUUGCGGUACAGGAUGGACCCGCGUCUGAUUAGCUAGUUGGUGAGGUAACGGCUCACCAAGGCGACGAUCAGUAGCCGACCUGAGAGGGUGAUCGGCCACAUUGGAACUGAGACACGGUCCAAACUCCUACGGGAGGCAGCAGUGGGGAAUAUUGCACAAUGGGCGAAAGCCUGAUGCGGCAACGCCGCGUGAGCGAUGAAGGCCUUCGGGUCGUAAAGCUCUGUCCUCAAGGAAGAUAAUGACGGUACUUGAGGAGGAAGCCCCGGCUAACUACGUG
rnacentral:rRNA from 1 species